rnacentral:lncRNA from 1 species
ACAUCUAGAUAAUUCAUUGGCAACUGUGUCCAUCUCAUAGCCAUAUUGGUUAAUGUCCCCAGAACAUUGUCUAUCAUCCCUGCCACUGUAUUAUAAAUGAUACAGUAGCCCCAAUAAAUGGCAAUUAUUCCUAGCACAGUCGGCCAUAGUAUUAGUUGUAACAUGUUCCCCAUUAGAUGUUUUCUAGGCUCUAACUGCCAGGAGUUAACAGUUAGAAAAUUGUUGUAGUCCCCACAACCUAGAUAGGAUCCAAGGUGUCUAGAUCCUAUAAGCCUGACAGCCCUAGUACAGCCUCCCUUUAACAAGAGCCUCUCUUACUCAGUAUUGUAACUGACCAGAGUGGUAGUUGGUAACUAACUUGUUCUCCCACCCUCCCCCCACAAGGAAUCAAGAUGCUCAUCUCAGGAGUUGUAAUUGACAAACUUCACAACUGACAAUUGAUGGCAGUUGUCAAAGGGAAUCAAGAUGGCAGCCUAGAAGGAGCAGAAGUUCAGACCUCUGAAUACCCUUCCUUACCGAUCACAAACUGAAUGCUCCUAGGGGAAAUGAAAAUCAAACCUAACAACAAGAUAGAGCAAAGGAAUCCUCCUGCUGGACUCAAUUCAAAAGAUGAGAAAAUUAAGAAGCAAAGAGAAGAGUAUUUCCCAAGGUCACACCAGUAUUUAAUAGCUCGGUCUCUUAAGGUUUGAAUCGAAGUCCAUUGGUUUUAAAUCUAUCUUUCUUCCUCCAGCAUCACAUUGCCUCUAAAGUACAUGGCUAACUAGAAUUCUGUUAAUAAAUAACAAGAUUUAUUGAUGGAUUAUUUGUUG